UCACAGCUCAGGGCAACGCCGAAUCCUUAACCCACUGAGCAAGGCCAGGGAUCAAACCCACAACCUCAUGGUUCCUAGUCGGACUCGUUAACCACUGCGCCACGACGGGAACUCCAAGAGGGCCUUUUUCCUAACAGAACCAAAGGUCCUGCUCUCUUUUUCCCCUAGUACUCACAGUCAAGGACAGAGGCCUGCCCCUCACCAGGACAUCAGAGACCCGUCGGGACCUUUCUCCCCCCUGCCCCUUGAGGAACCCUGGCUGGCUUGCCGCACUACACCUAUUCUAUAUUACCCAGGGAGGCGCAAGCAAGCCCAAUGCCCAGCACAGAGAAAACGCUUGGUGCCACUACAAAGAAGUACAUUUCUGUUUAGCAAGACUUUUUGCCGGGUCCAAGACUCCAGCGAAUUGUGAGGUUUUAAUCCUAACUUUGCCCUCCCUCCCUUUGGGGACCACCCUGGAAUAGUCCACUAACAUCUGCAUCGGCUGUUCCCCGAUGACACCACCAAGGGGCGCGCGAGAUGGAACAUCUGUCAUGGGACGUACCACUGACAGGGCCGGAGGUAAGACCAUUCACUCGGAAGGUACCAUUAGAGGGUAGGAGGCGGUCGUUCUGGAAUAAUCCAUCGUGUUCCAAUACUGAGGGUUCACGUACACUGCGGAGGGCGUUAACCACAGUUCCCGGAGGAGGCUCUCAUGGAGCCGCUGGGUCCAUCCCCAUUGUAUCCUCUCCGUCUUCCCGGAGCAUUCGAGCACGAGUACACACUGAAUACCAGGAUGCAGCCUUCUUUCUACCUACUCCAAGUUCACCCCUUCGUUUCUAUAUGGUCACCUCUAGCUGGGGCUGACGGCAACGGGGCAAGGGAUUGGCUCCCGGAGGCGGUGGGAGGGGUCGGAAAGGAUUAUGAGUGAUGAUUGGUCAGGGCGAGAUUGCUCUUCCGUUGUCCCAACCAGCGACGGAAGUCCUCUACUCCCACCCUCCGUAGUCGUCUGCCCAGUUCCGAUUGGCCGUCUGUUUGGGGGGGCCCCGAGGUCGCAGAGUUGAAGCGCAGCGUGAGAGGUGAACGUAUGCGUCUUUGCGCUUGCGCAUGCGUGCGUGCGUGCAUUUCCGUGCGCUUGCGCGUGCGGGUAUUUUUCACACUACAUUUUCUCCGAGCGGGUCUGUGCUACUGACUGUCCGGAAGGGGUAUCGUAGCUGCCCCGGUCAGUAGCGCGGUUAGGCUCAGUCGCUGGCUGUGCGGAGUGACGGUGCUGUCUUCACUACUCACAGUCAAGGACAGAGGCCUGCCCCUCACCAGGACAUCAGAGACCCGUCGGGACCUUUCUCCCCCCUGCCCCUUGAGGAACCCUGGCUGGCUUGCCGCACUACACCUAUUCUAUAUUACCCAGGGAGGCGCAAGCAAGCCCAAUGCCCAGCACAGAGAAAACGCUUGGUGCCACUACAAAGAAGUACAUUUCUGUUUAGCAAGACUUUUUGCCGGGUCCAAGACUCCAGCGAAUUGUGAGGUUUUAAUCCUAACUUUGCCCUCCCUCCCUUUGGGGACCACCCUGGAAUAGUCCACUAACAUCUGCAUCGGCUGUUCCCCGAUGACACCACCAAGGGGCGCGCGAGAUGGAACAUCUGUCAUGGGACGUACCACUGACAGGGCCGGAGGUAAGACCAUUCACUCGGAAGGUACCAUUAGAGGGUAGGAGGCGGUCGUUCUGGAAUAAUCCAUCGUGUUCCAAUACUGAGGGUUCACGUACACUGCGGAGGGCGUUAACCACAGUUCCCGGAGGAGGCUCUCAUGGAGCCGCUGGGUCCAUCCCCAUUGUAUCCUCUCCGUCUUCCCGGAGCAUUCGAGCACGAGUACACACUGAAUACCAGGAUGCAGCCUUCUUUCUACCUACUCCAAGUUCACCCCUUCGUUUCUAUAUGGUCACCUCUAGCUGGGGCUGACGGCAACGGGGCAAGGGAUUGGCUCCCGGAGGCGGUGGGAGGGGUCGGAAAGGAUUAUGAGUGAUGAUUGGUCAGGGCGAGAUUGCUCUUCCGUUGUCCCAACCAGCGACGGAAGUCCUCUACUCCCACCCUCCGUAGUCGUCUGCCCAGUUCCGAUUGGCCGUCUGUUUGGGGGGGCCCCGAGGUCGCAGAGUUGAAGCGCAGCGUGAGAGGUGAACGUAUGCGUCUUUGCGCUUGCGCAUGCGUGCGUGCGUGCAUUUCCGUGCGCUUGCGCGUGCGGGUAUUUUUCACACUACAUUUUCUCCGAGCGGGUCUGUGCUACUGACUGUCCGGAAGGGGUAUCGUAGCUGCCCCGGUCAGUAGCGCGGUUAGGCUCAGUCGCUGGCUGUGCGGAGUGACGGUGCUGUCUUCACGUGAGCUCUUUCAGUCUUGUCGAGCCCACAUUCUGGAGCUUGUGGUUCCCCAUGGUCAAUCGCACAGAUUCACGUAAAGUCCAGAGAGAGGUCUCUGAGUUUGUUUGGUGUCUCUCCCUGGGAAGUAACGUGUGUCAUGCAGUUCGAAGCUAUGUAUCGCUACGCCUGACAUCAUAGAUGCUAGUUGGGUCCAUGUGAUGUCUUUGAGCGCUUUGGGGAGUUUUUGGUGAACGGAAUAGUUUAUCUAACUGGAUUUUGGGAGCCAUGGUUCAAAGAGCCUUAGGCUUUGUCUGCCUUGUAUAUUUGGGUAUGCACUUUCUGAGCUUUGGAGUCACUGGGUUUUAGACUGCUCUGUAGGCGUGUGCACCCCGGACUGUGAGGUGUCUGAGCUAUUUGCGAUUCUGACUACCAACUUAUGAAGUCUCUGAGCUGCUUUGGGAAGGCUUUGUCCAAAGGCGUAGAGGAUCUCAGCUGUUUGGGGUUUGGGUGUCAGGAGUAACGUCUCUUACCGUUUUGGCCUUAAAGUCUCUGUCCAGGAACGGAGGGGUUUGGAACCUGGUAGAUAGGAUUCCAAAGCCGCGAACCCCACGUGCUGGUUGUGUGUCUUGAGCAAGUCACUUCUCUUCUGGAGUUGCACUAUGUAUCAUAAUGAAUUAAAUGGGGCCAAUGGCCAUCAUGGGCAGUA